rnacentral:lncRNA from 1 species
AGUGCUUUCCUGCGGACGUGCGCUGCUGCCCAGCCUCAGGCUCCAGUCCUGCGCUGGCUGCUGCUGGCUGUCGUCAGCGAUGCCGCCGCCGGCCACAAGGACUCCCGAAAGAAGCCUGGUGUAACUGAGUCUGGAAUUUUUGCUGGGCUUGCUAGGUCUACACUCUCCCACCUGUGCUCCGAGGAGAGGUGUAGACUAUCUCUUGGAUUUUGCUUGGAGGAUGUCCUUUCCGGACUCAGGACCUAGGAGAGACCAGCAGGAAACAGAACAGAGUCUACAUAGAUGUUUGUAGCUGGAGCCUACUCACCUACAGAGACCUCCUACAGAGGGGCUCUGCCCUGGCCUUUUGGGAUUCAGAGCUGAGGCGGGACACAGAGUUCGACAAAGCCAGAAGACUGAUAAUCUCAGACCUAACUGUACUGGGAGCUGGGAGCUGGGAGCUGUUGGCUUCAGGAAACUUAACCCUCUCUUGUUUAUUCUAUGGCCGAAAACUGCUGACUUCUUUUCGCUUUAACUCUGUGCUCUGGAGAAACUUAACUCUUUGUGCUUAAAUAAGCACUGGGGGUCACUUAACUCUUUGUUACUAUUCUGUGCUUUAAUAAACGCUGAGCAUUCUUCAA